GAUGAACGCUGGCGGCGUGCCUAAUACAUGCAAGUCGAGCGAACGGACGAGGAGCUUGCUCCUCUGAUGUUAGCGGCGGACGGGUGAGUAACACGUGGAUAACCUACCUAUAAGACUGGGAUAACUUCGGGAAACCGGAGCUAAUACCGGAUAAUAUUUUGAACCGCAUGGUUCAAUAGUGAAAGACGGUCUUGCUGUCACUUAUAGAUGGAUCCGCGCUGCAUUAGCUAGUUGGUAAGGUAACGGCUUACCAAGGCAACGAUGCGUAGCCGACCUGAGAGGGUGAUCGGCCACACUGGAACUGAGACACGGUCCAGACUCCUACGGGAGGCAGCAGUAGGGAAUCUUCCGCAAUGGGCGAAAGCCUGACGGAGCAACGCCGCGUGAGUGAUGAAGGUCUUCGGAUCGUAAAACUCUGUUAUUAGGGAAGAACAUAUGUGUAAGUAACUAUGCACAUCUUGACGGUACCUAAUCAGAAAGCCACGGCUAACUACGUG
rnacentral:rRNA from 1 species